GAGGUGUCAAUGAGGCAGCAACCGGUGAACCCAAUGACAUACAUUACCAAAAGUAGACAUCAACAUGAUUAAGAGGACAUCUUGUUGACUUAAACAAAAAUUGAGAAUAAAAGUACCAAAAGGUCAACAUUAUACAAGUAAGAACAUGCGGUAUGAAUACCAAUGAGACAACUAUCCACCCCAAGUUCAAAGGAGGUGGAUGAGAGCAAGUAUAGGCAACUGUAUGGCCUUUAAAACAAUGAUAAAAAUUCAUGCAUGAUUUUGAUAGAGAAUACAGACAGGGAAUGUGUCAAAGAGACAUCAACCCGACAAAAGAGCAGGAAACAACCC
rnacentral:lncRNA from 1 species